rnacentral:rRNA from 1 species
GGAAGUAAAAGUCGUAACAAGGUUUCCGUAGGUGAACCUGCGGAAGGAUCAUUACUGAUUUAGCGAACCGAGCGUUAGCGAGGUUUUGCGAUCAACUUGUAUUUAAAACCCACUCUUCAAUGUAUAAAAUUUGUAUUAAUGAUAAAUUAAAAGAUCACUUUCAACAACGGAUCUCUUGGCUCUCGCAUCGAUGAAGAACGUAGCGAAGUGCGAUAAGUAAUGUGAAUUGCAGAAUUCCGUGAAUCAUCGAAUCUUUGAACGCAUAUUGCACUUUCUGGUAUUCCGGAAAGUAUGCCUGUUUGAGGGUCAGUUAAAUAAAAAUCGGUGUUGUUGCUGCCUUUCGUGGUGACGCGUCGGAAUUGAGUUGUCUUACCUUCGGUUAAGUGACUUAAAAUUUUGUAUGAUUUUUGAACGUAUUUAAAUUUUAUUUGUACGUUUGAGAUAUCGAAUGUUUAUUAGGUUCGGUCAUUCUAAUGACCCGCGCCUAUAGUUUUUUCAUUAAAUGACCUCAAAUCAGGUAAGAAUACCCGCUGAACUUAAGCAUAUCAAUAAGCGGAGGA